rnacentral:lncRNA from 1 species
GUUCGGUGAUCAAGAGCACGGAGAAUUCUGUGCUUCUAAUAACACACAAAUCUUACUAUAUAUAUAUAAUUGAGUUAGAAUACUUUUAGAAGCACCAACCCAUUGAUUCGUCUAAGUUUCUAGCCCUUGGAUCUACUCCUUAAUUACUAAUACCUCUGGAUCAAACACUAUUCCACCUACCACCACUUACCACUAUCAUCUCAACCCUACAUCUCUCCAUCCAAUGGUCAAAAACUCAAAAGCACCACCCCC